rnacentral:rRNA from 1 species
GUAGGGAAUAUUGGGCAAUGGAUGCAAGUCUGACCCAGCCAUCCCGCGUGCCGGAGGAAGGCCCUCAGGGUUGUAAACGGCUUUUGACGGUGAAGAAUCGACAGGAUGCGUCCUGUUUUGACGGUAGCCGUUGAAUAAGCACCGGCUAACUCCGUGCCAGCAGCCGCGGUAAUACGGAGGGUGCGAGCGUUGUCCGGAUUUAUUGGGUUUAAAGGGUGCGUAGGCUGGAAGGUCAGUCAGCGGUGAAAAGCUGUCGCUUAACGAUAGUCUUGCCGCAGAUACUUCCUUUCUUGGAUGAGGAGGAGGCCACUGGAACGGAUGGUGUAGCGGUGAAAUGCAUAGAUAUCAUCCAGAACACCGAUUGCGAAGGCAGGUGGCUGUACCUUAAUCGACGCUGAUGCACGAAAGCAUGGGGAGCAAACAGGAUUAGAAACCCCUGUAGUCC